rnacentral:rRNA from 1 species
UACGUAGGGUGCGAGCGUUAAUCGGAAUUACUGGGCGUAAAGCGUGCGCAGGCGGUUAUUUAAGUCAGGUGUGAAAUCCCUGGGCUUAACCUAGGAAUUGCGCUUGAGACUGGAUAGCUUGGAGUGCGGCAGAGGGAGGUGGAAUUCCACUUGUAGCAGUGAAAUGCGUAGAGAUGUGGAGGAACACCGAUGGCGAAGGCAGCCUCCUGGGCCAGCACUGACGCUCAUGCACGAAAGCGUGGGGAGCAAACAGG